UACAAUUACAAUUUUAAAUUAUUUUUAUUUCUAGCUAAGAUGGGCAUGUUGCAGUUAUGACAGUUAUAAAUUUUAUCUUAGUAAUAUCUCAGUGAUAUUAAGAUUGGAUUUGCUUAAUAUUUCUUUCAAAAUAGAGUAUGAAUGGGACUUAGUUGAAAUGCAAAGAAUGAGCUGAACGUAUCUUGACAUUUAUUAGGUAUGAAAAGUUAUGAAUGGGGCUUACUUGAAAUGCAAGGAAGGAGCUAAACUAAUCUUGACAUUUAUUAGGUGUGUAUAUUUA